UACGUAGGGGGCAAGCGUUGUCCGGAAUCAUUGGGCGUAAAGCGCGUGUAGGCGGCCCGGAAAGUCUGGUGUGAAAUCUUGGGGCUCAACCCUAAGCUGUCACUGGAUACUAUCGGGCUUGAGUCUGGAAGAGGAGUGUGGAAUUCCUGGUGUAGCGGUGAAAUGCGUAGAUAUCAGGAGGAACACCUGUGGCGAAAGCGGCUCACUGGACCACAACUGACGCUGAUGCACGAAAGCUAGGGGAGCAAACAGG
rnacentral:rRNA from 1 species